AUUGAACGCUGGCGGCAUGCCUAACACAUGCAAGUCGAGCGGAUGAAGGGAGCUUGCUCCUGGAUUCAGCGGUGGACGGGUGAGUCAUGCCUAUGAAUCUGCCUUGUCGUGCGGGAUAACGUCCUGAAACGGGCGCUAAUACCGCAUCCGUCCUGAGGUCGAAUGUGGGUGAGCUUCGGACCUCUCGCUUUCUGAUGAGCCUAGGUGCAUUUAGCUAGUUGGGGGGGUAACGGCCUACCAAGGCGACGAUCCGAAACUGGUCUGAAAGGAUGAACAGUCACAUGGGAACGGAGAAUGGGCACAGACACCUAGGGGAGGACGCAGUGGGGAAUAUUAGACGAGGGAGGAAUGCGUGAUACAGGCAAGCCGCGGAUAUGAAGAAGGUCUUAGGAUGGGAGAGCACUUUAAGUUGGGGGGAAGGAAAGUAAGUUAAUACCUGGCUGUUUUGACGGUACCAACAGAAUAAGCACCGGCUAACUUCGUG
rnacentral:rRNA from 1 species